rnacentral:lncRNA from 1 species
GGAAGACUGUUUUUUUUUUUAUUGCAUUUGGCAACCUCUUUCUUUCAGAGACACAAUACAAUUAAUUAACAUAUUCUGGGGCGUGUUUCUGAGAUUGGGAAGUGGUGGCCCCUUGUUGAGAAGAAAACACUUUAAAUAAAAAAGUAACAUUGUUUAGUCCAAAUGGUACUGGGAAAAGCAGAGUAGUAUUGCUUAUACAGCCCACAGAUGCGGUUGAUUUACUCCAAUUUGCUUUAGCAUCUAACAAACCAGCUUUUCCUUUCCCACGCCCGUAUUAGGUAUAUGUGUUUCGUUUAUACAAAUCUAUCUAAAAUAAACCUGUAUUUAAGAUAUUUGAUGGGAAAUUCAGCAUGUCAUUUCUCGUAUUUAAUACGCAGCACAGAUCCCAUUCCUAAAUCGAAAUCGGAUAAAUGUGACCUGUGACACAACGCAGCAUCACUCUGCUUAUCGUAACACAACAAACAUGAAAAAAGGCUAUUAAUUUAUAUGGAAUGUUAAUUUAGCAAAUCCUACAUAGGGAUAUGUCUAUAGAAGAAAAGUAAUCUGAAGCUUGGUUUUAGAGUGGUGCUAUGUAAAUGUAUUUAAUAAAAAUCCAGUGAAUUAAUAGAUAGCUCAUAAAAAUCCAAACUUUGAAACAAAGUGUUCUUCUCUGGAGAAAAGCCCUGCGUUACAUUUAAGUCGCAUAUAAUCUAAAUUCCAGAGUUUACUAACCCAGCUUCUCAGGACUUAAUACAGCGUUAAUAUUCAAUAUGGUUUAUUAUAAGUUUAUUUCAGGUUCUUUUGUAUCAUACUGUAAUUAUCAUUACUUUGACUUGACUCAUAUAAAAAUGUGGUUAACAUUUAAAUGCCUUUUUAAUGUAGAGAAUUAUAAAUUAACUGUCACAUUUAAAUCUUUAACUUCUACCACUUAGGGAAUGUUAAAUCUUUAAAAGGAAAUAAUCACUGUGCUUAAAAACAUCCGUGCUAGGAUUCCUUUAUUUAGAAUUUUGGUUUGAGAUUAUUCAUUCAAAGAAAAUCUCUUGUUUCAUGUUUACUGUAAACCUCAGUCUGAAAUUAACAUUUAAAUGCCAACAUUAGUAACAGAAGCAGUACUUGAAAACCACCAAUUUUGUCCAUUGCUGCUAGUUAAGUGGAAUUUACCAAAGUUUCCAAAGGUGAUAAUAGAAUUAAAAGCAAUAAACUGAAUACAGUAGUUGGUGGAAUUAUUUCCCCCUCUCUUUGCAGUCUAAAGAAUUACAAAAUUUAUAAUUACAUUUGCACAAAGGAAAAUAGUGCAGCAUAUGAAGAGGCACUGUGUCCAGGAGAUGCGCUGCUAUGACCUGUGAUGCUGCUACCUGUACUUGCAUAACAUGUAAAUACACAGCAUGCAAACUCCUGGUCAAGAAGCGACUACAUGCUAAAUGUUGAAACUUUUUAGUUCUUCAGUACAUUGCGUUUGGAUAGGUGUUAAGUACAGAUUUGAGCAGUGUAUUAAAGAAUAGGAGGAAAAAGAAAACUUUACUCUUUCUCAGUGUAAUGCAAGAGUAAGCAUGUAAAGAUACAUUAACAUGUUUAAUAUGGGUUCUGUAGACAUGCUAUAUCCUUCAUAAUUGAACAUGGAUAGAAAUAAUUUGUUGGAUCUAAGGCAGCCUGCCAUUUAAAACACACUGCGUGCAAAGGUCAACACACGAGAGUUGCAUUUUAUUUUGUGUAAAGUGACCAUUUUGCUGCUGCCUUCCCAGAAAUGAAGCAAAUGCCCAUGAUUAGAAAUGUAUUUCAGUGUAGACUGUUAAUUAUUUAAACCCAUAUAACAAAAGGCAGACAAGCAUCAAUGUAUUUUAAAUGGAUAAUCGGGAGAUGUAUUAUUCUACCUAUUGGGUAUCACUAAGUUAUUGCAAUUUUCCUGUAUUCAGUGGCUUCUGUUUAGCUGCAGUGUGUAUCCUUUUUCACAUAGGUAAAGAUCAAAGCUUUUUCCACAAAGACCCCAUCUGAAAAUGGAGUAAAAAUUGCUAUGAGAAAUUUGCUUUCUGGAAAGAAGUGAGUCUCCUCACUCUACAGCUUCAAGUCCCAAUAUCAGUUCAUGUUUUCUAAUACGGUGUGCAUUUUAUAUGAAGUCUAUGCUUUUUCUGUUAUUCCUGGAAGACUCUUCUGAUUAUUAUAUCCAACUGGUAAUGCGGUUUUGUAAGUGAAAGACUUUUUCUUGUUCAAUGCUUCGUUUUAUUCACUAAAGUUACCACAUGAUUUUGCAUUUUUUAGGAAAAAAAAAAAAAGUGAAAUUUAAAGUAAGCAUUCCAAAAUCUUAGCAUUAUUGUUGGAACUGAUUGGUUUGCACUAAAAAUUUAAGGUGAAAACCUCUUUAUUUUUGUUGAUGAAGCUAAAGUGCUCUGCACUAAUAUAUGUUAACAUUUUCUUGAGGAAUUUCUUAAACUUUUAAAAACAAUUUGCAUUUGGAGAGUGUAAUUUUCUUUCACUUACGCAUUCACUCUUUUUGAAAAAGGUAUCCACAAAAAUAAGAAAACAUAAUCUUCUUGUAUGUUUCUUACAAUAUAACUUGUUUAGCUUCUAGGUCUUGUAGGUUCCUUUUAAGAGAAUUGGAUUUUCUCCUUGCAUUUAGAUUAACAAUGAAAUUAUUCAUUCAUACUCACUGAAUUAUAUUCCUCUCUAAUUAUUUUAAUCUCUUAUAUAUCACUAUAAGAAGGACAAGCUUCUUUUUUUUUUAAAAGAAAAUUGGCCUUCUGUGUCAUGUCAGUGCUUAUUAAAUACUACAAUCAUAAGAACAUAUAUGCUACAAGAUUUUAUGUUCUGAUUCCAUAGCCGUUACAGGCUUAGUGUUUGCAGUAUUUAUUUAGUGGUAAUGCAUUUCUUUUCCUAUUUUGCAUUUCAAAGGUCUUCUCUAAAUGAUUGUUUUACAGAACUAUCAAAAGGUUAUCUAAAUUUUUCCAUCAAAUAUUGCACAAUACCAUAAGGUGGUAGUCAUGGAGUUUCUUUCAGUCCAUGUGCAUUCUUUCUAUAGAAAGAAUUAAACAGAAAUCCAUAAAAAGACAACAAAUGUUUCAUUAAAUAAUUGAAUGUAUUAGGCUUGACUGAAUUUUCACCAAAGCAAAAUUUCAGGCUGUGCAAUACCAAGCUGGUGUGUUACGUGGUGUGAGAUUAAAAUAUUUUUAUUUGAAAACUAUACACUAGGUUUUUCACGAAUAUACUCUUGUUGCCAUGGUGCAGCUUUAAUCAAGUUGUUGCAAAGUGAUUAAUUUUUUCUUUGGCGGUGCUUCUUUAUCAGACUAAAAAUUGAGCCUUAAAACAGCUAACAUUAAAAAAAAAAUCCGAACCCACCAAGACAGGCCCGGGAAUUGUACUAGUUGCUUUUCAAAGAAGAAAUUGCAGGAAGACCUCCUCAAUGAAUUAAAAAAAAAAAAAAAAAAAAAAAAAAAA